rnacentral:rRNA from 1 species
GGAAACAGAUGCUAAUACCGGAUAACAACAGAUGAUGCCUAUCAACUGUUUAAAAGAUGGUUCUGCUAUCACUCUUGGAUGGACCUGCGGUGCAUUAGCUAGUUGGUAGGGUAACGGCCUACCAAGGCGAUGAUGCAUAGCCGAGUUGAGAGACUGAUCGGCCACAUCGGGACUGAGACACGGCCCAAACUCCUACGGGAGGCAGCAGUU